CAGUCGCCACGGGAAUACAGAGGGUGCAAGCGUUAAUCGGAAUUACUGGGCGUAAAGCGCGCGUAGGUGGUUCGUUAAGUUGGAUGUGAAAUCCCCGGGCUCAACCUGGGAACUGCAUCCAAAACUGGCGAGCUAGAGUAGGGCAGAGGGUGGUGGAAUUUCCUGUGUAGCGGUGAAAUGCGUAGAUAUAGGAAGGAACACCAGUGGCGAAGGCGACCACCUGGGCUCAUACUGACACUGAGGUGCGAAAGCGUGGGGAGCAAACAGGAUUAGAUACCCCCGUAGUCCCUGUCUCUUAUAC
rnacentral:rRNA from 1 species